GUGGCAUUAGCUCAGAUGGAUAGAGCAACGGCCUUCUAAGCCGUGGGUCGCAGGUUCGAAUCCUGCGAGCCUCGCCA
rnacentral:tRNA from 1 species